UAAACAUACAGAGAGACAGAACCAUUACAUCGCGAAACGUAUUUAGAGACAAACAGAGAAAGGGAGAACACAUCGACCAUUGCUCUCAGGGUCAGAGCCAACAGAGUCAAAUAAUUAAAUGAGCUGUCCCACGCACACAUACACAGACUCAGCAAGUGUUCAUGUCUGUACGGGCGCAGUGCACGCUGACACGGUCGACAGGUGCAAGGUGUUUCCUCCGACACAUUGGUGUGGCUGGCUCCCAGGUUAAGUGAGUAGUGUGUCAAGAAGCAGUGCGGCUUGGCGGGGUCGUGUUUUGGAGGAUGCACUGCAGUGAUGGGACAAGACUAACUACCAAUUGGAUACCACAAACUUGUGGAGAAAAAGAGAGUGCAUCCAGAUUGACAGGAAUGGACAGUUCCUGGAGCAAGUCCACUAAUCUCCCUGGUCAAUGGGCUUUUUCCUUCUCAUCCUGCUCCACCCUCUCCCAUUGGUGCACUGGGCUGUCACUCACAUU